rnacentral:tRNA from 1 species
GCCAACAUAGCUCAGCUAGGUAGAGCAGCUCAUUCGUAAUGAGCAGGUCACCGGUUCGAAUCCGGUUGUUGGCU